GUGAGUGGCACAGAGGCUGUGGUGAGUGAAUCUGAGGGUUUGUAUCAUCUCUUAGGCCUGAACACCAAUGCCUUCACCUCAACACGUGAAGGGCGUGCUCACCGAGCAGCGGAGGAGAAAGGGCAAAGGGGAGGGUGAAGUCCAAGUUAUUGCACAAAAGGCUGUGACCACUCCCAGGCUGAUCAUCCCUGGGGCUGGGAGGAAAGUUAUUUGCAGAGGAGAACAAGAUCAGGACUCUUCCUAACAAAGGCUGAACGGAAUCUGGCCCAGACUGGCAUGCAUUGGCGUGAUCUUGGCUCACUGCAACCUCCGCCUCCCGGGUUCAGGUGAUUCUGCCUCAGCCUCCUGAGUAGCUGGGAUUAAAGCUGUGCACCACCAUGAACAGCUAAUUAACACGCCGAUUUUUAGGCUGAGCAAUGAUAGAGCUUUUCACUUCUCCUCUUUUUCAGAGGCCCACAGACAGAAGGGAUUAGCCUUAUCUCAGAUGAGAUUUUGGACUUGGACUUUUGAAUUAAUCCUUCAAUGACCAUAGUUUAAGAAGAGAUAUCUUGAAAACACGGAAAGAGAAAAGUCAAUACAAUAUUUCCUAAUUUUUUAAGAGGUCAGAGAAGGGAGUUACUGUGUGGCCUGGAGCAGGUGAUUCUGACUACCAAGGGAAAAUUGGAGUACUACUCCACAAUGGAGGGUCUGCAGGAUGGACCCGGCAGCUGGUGCCCUGUGUGAGGAACGCUGCAACGGACUGCGACAGAACCCUCGAAAACGAAGGUGAAGAGACUGUGCAGUCAUGUGACAGACACAUCAAACCAUACCAUGGCGUGGCUAAGACCCAAGCUGGUAUCAAAAAUAAAGGAAACGACGCUGCAGGACCCGCAGCCCCAGACGAUGUGGCUUCCUCCGAUGACACAGGCCCCAGACAUUACCUGGGGGAAGCUGAAGAAGACAACUCAGGAGGCCGAGUGAAUCCUUCUCUGGACACAGACACCAUCACUCCAGAUAAUCUGUUCCUUGCUAUGCUCUCUAUUGUACCUUGCAACUCUCAUAGGGUAUUCACCUUUCUUAUUCUCUCACUUUGCCUGCAACUCAUACCUGCUACAUUCUAUUGGGCCCAUCUUCUAAGAUCUGCCUUUCUUCCAACCUGUUACCUUGGCAGACACCCCCUUCCCAUCCUCUAAUAAUGUAACUGCUUAGCUGGGAGGGGUUGACAUGCCCCCAGUGGGGUUCCUUAAUAAUGGCACACAUUGAACUGAGGUGCCAAGUAACACUACAUAUCUCUCCUUGAUUGGAAAAGAAUAAUAGUGACUAUACUAAUGUUUGACUUAUGUUAUUUACUAAUUCUAGGAUGCAAAGCCGGAACACGAGCUGUAACCGCUGCGCCUGUCAAAUCUGUCACUGCACACAUCUGUACUAUUCAAUCAACAAAACCCGAUGCUAAAAACAGAAAAGGGGGAGACGCGGGAGAUCGGUCAGAGUGGUAGGAGAAGGUAUAGGGAAAGGAACAGACCUUCUGAAAGGCGGGAAGGCUCUGGAUAGCUUCAGGGAUGAAUAAGCUGAAGGCAGCUGUUCUCUUACCCUGAGGCAGAGGGCAAGGGGUAGGUAAGGAAGUAUAGGGGAAUUUGGCAUAAACAGGCUUGUUUACUUACAUUGUCCGGAAACCGACUUUGAUCAUCAGGGCAGGAGACUGCUCCCUGAAAGGGGGAAUAAUAAUGUUAAUUACCCACAGAUUGUGUUGGCUCCAGGCUUUCAUUAUUUUGUCUGUACUGAAUAAAAGCAAGCAGCUCCAGCUGUUCGAGACUGCUCACUCUUCAGCCAUUAGUGCUGGGCAUUCCUGUAGCUGCUCUUACACUGCAUGCCUGUGGCUGAGUACUCCUUUCAUCCGUUGCUUGGCCAGGGUCUGUGGGAUGGACCCCGCAGGUAAGGGUUAUCAAAAAAAAAAAAAAUUCACAGGCAGAUAGGAACACCAUGACCAUACUAAAAGGCUUUUUUCCCAUUUUAGUCUUGCAAGUUUGUAAAGAAGGAUAUGAAGCCCCUAAGAAAUCAGUGAAACACUUU
rnacentral:lncRNA from 10 species